GCAUAUCAAUAAGCGGAGGAAAAGAAACCAACAGGGAUUCCCUAGUAACGGCGAGUGAAGCGGCAACAGCUCAAAUUUGAAAUCUGGCGUCUUUGGCGUCCGAGUUGUAAUUUGCAGAGGGCGCUUUGGCAUUGGCAGCGGUCCAAGUUCCUUGGAACAGGACGUCACAGAGGGUGAGAAUCCCGUACGUGGUCGCUAGCCUUUACCGUGUAAAGCCCCUUCGACGAGUCGAGUUGUUUGGGAAUGCAGCUCUAAAUGGGAGGUAAAUUUCUUCUAAAGCUAAAUACUGGCCAGAGACCGAUAGCGCACAAGUAGAGUGAUCGAAAGAUGAAAAGCACUUUGGAAAGAGAGUUAAAAAGCACGUGAAAUUGUUGAAAGGGAAGCGCUUGCAGCCAGACUUGCCUGUAGUUGCUCAUCCGGGUUUUUACCCGGUGCACUCUUCUAUAGGCAGGCCAGCAUCAGUUUGGGCGGUUGGAUAAAGGUCUCUGUCAUGUACCUCCUUUCGGGGAGAACUUAUAGGGGAGACGACAUGCAACCAGCCUGGACUGAGGUCCGCGCAUCUGCUAGGAUGCUGGCGUAAUGGCUGUAAGCGGCCCGUCUUGAAACACGGACCAAGGAGUCUAACAUCUAUGCGAGUGUUUGGGUGUCAAGCCCGAACGCGUAAUGAAAGUGAACGGAGGUGGGAACCUUUCGGGGUGCACCAUCGACCGAUCCUGAUGUCUUCGGAUGGAUUUGAGUAAGAGCAUAGCUGUUGGGACCCGAAAGAUGGUGAACUAUGCUUGAAUAGGGUGAAGCCAGAGGAAACUCUGGUGGAGGCUCGCAGCGGUUCUGACGUGCAAAUCGAUCGUCAAAUUUGGGCAUAGGGGCGAAAGACUAAUCGAACUAUCUAGUAGCUGGUUCCUGCCGAAGUUUCCCC
rnacentral:rRNA from 1 species